rnacentral:rRNA from 1 species
GACGAACCGAGCGAACGUUGUUCGGAAUCACUGGGCUUAAAGGGCGCGUAGGCGGGUUCUCAAGUCCGGGGUGAAAUCCCACAGCUCAACUGUGGAACUGCCUCGGAUACUGGGAGUCUCGAGGGUGGCAGGGGUAUGCGGAACUAUCAGUGGAGCGGUGAAAUGCGUUGAUAUCGAUAGGAACUCCGGUGGCGAAGGCGGCAUACUGGUCCACUUCUGACGCUGAGGCGCGAAAGCCAGGGGAGCAAACGGG